GCGUGUAAUUGCAAAAAUAUACAUGCAUGUACACGCACCUAUACAACGCAGUUGUGCGAAACACUACCCACGCACACAUUUGUGUGUAUGUGCGCACGGUACGCAGACUGACAGCUGCCAACACGAGAAGCAGGAGUGGCGGAUCAUGUAAGGAUACUUGUCGUGUCGACGAAACAACUUGCUAUCUCAGUAGCGGUUACACUGCCAAGGGUACAUUAGACAUUUGGCAGGAUAGGUAGACGCAGGAAAAAUAGCGAGCGAAGGAACAGGCGAUUCAAAGGCGGAAUGACACGUCCUCCUAACAAUGACAACCUCAUGACCUUUAAGCUGGUCGUUGUUGGAGAUGGAGGGGUUGGCAAGAGCGCCCUUACUAUACAGUACUUUCAGAAACUGUUUGUCGCUGACUAUGAUCCGACCAUUGAGGAUAGUUACAUCCAACACACAGAGGUGGACGAACAGUGGUGCAUUCUGGAUGUGUUGGAUACAGCUGGUCAGGAGGAAUUUAGUGCCAUGCGCGAGCAGUACAUGCGGACAGGCGACGGAUUCCUUUUGGUAUACUCUGUGACCGACAAGCAGUCGUAUCAAAAUAUCGUCAAUUUUUAUACUCAAAUCCUACGAGUGAAGGACAGGGACGUGUACCCUAUGCUGUUGGUGGCCAAUAAAGUCGAUCUGGUACAUCUAAGGAAGGUCACAGAGGAACAAGGAAGAGAAUUGGCUUAUCGUCUGGGCAUAUCUUAUAUCGAAACUUCUGCCAAAGAUCCACCAUUAAACGUGGACAUCGCAUUUCACGAGGUCAUUCGCACUAUCAGAAACCAACCGCCAAACGAAUUGAAGAAGAAUCAAAGGAAACGACGGCUCUCGAGAAAAUGUAACAUUUUGUAAGUCUCGUGGAAGGAUGGAAGGUGUACGUGUAACUCGCGCGCAGAGAUCAAGGACCACGUUGUUGCCGAGCCAAAAUCGCGCAACGCCUCUAUUACUUCCUCGAGAGAGAGAUUGAGAGAGUGCGUCCUUGUCGCGUCGCGUUGAACUUUCGGCAGAUCCUUUGGAAAGAACGAUUCUCUUCUUCUCCAGUACAUAUAUAGCAACAAUGUCCAGAGUCGGAUAUGUGUCUUGGAAUUGGUAAUUUCACUUUAUUGCCAGUCGGCUAAUUAUCAGCCCGACUCUUUGCAAGAAGGAGACUUUGAGUCACGUACGGUACGACUUGCCAGCCGGCACAAGAACUUAUUUUGCGAAAUCCGAAAGCCUCGGCGAGCCGUCACAUUGGAGCACGCCCGCGAGUAGCGAUCGAUCGGAGGAAGCUAAAGCUGUAACGGGAGAAUCUUUUUACGAGAGAAUGGUCUAUCAGCGGAAGAGAGGACGCGUACGCUUGUCACGAUCUAUAUUUGUCGCUCUUCGUAAACAGCGCCGUGGCGCGUAUAUUUUCCACAUGUACACAUUGCCUGCCGAUGAAGGAUUACAAGUUGAGGUGAGGAAAUCGAAGACCCGCGUGGGUUUAGACGAUGCAGGAAGCUUACGAGACGAAGCUCACGACAACGAGCUGCUGCUGCGCCACGGAGAUCGUAAAUUGGAAGGAAACUAUCGCGGGGGAAAUUCGUACAUUUCGCGUACACAUUCGGGAGCGAGUGCCCAGACCAGUGUUAAUAUUCGUAUUAAUCAUUGUUUGAAACUUGCGGCACCUGAGUUUGGGAUUUGAUGAGAAAUUUAAUUCAAUUUUAAUGGGAUCGCGGCUGUAGGCAACGUCACGUGCAUCGUGGACGAUUCUACUGGGAAAAAAGAAAACAGAUCUGACUCUAAACUCAGAUGCACUUUGCAAGAGAGAUAAGUUUCAAGUAACAAUUAUUAAUGCGGGUCUUCGUGUCGUGCACGAGAGCGGCAGCGAAGGGUGAAUUGGUCCUGGAGAGCAAAAAAUCGAUAGCGUUCACGGUGACACACACACACACAGGCACACACACAGCACACGCGGAUUUCCACAGGCGGAUUAGAGAGAAAAAUUACCCAUGAAGUAGUCAAUAUAUACCGAAGCAUUGUGAUACCGAACACGAGAGAGAGAUAGAGAGAAUUGUAACAGAUGGUUGUGAGAGUUUUCAUCUUGAAAAGCCAACCGAGGUACGCGAGGAGGAAAACGGUUGACUUUCUCUGUCAUAAAUGAUCAAGGAUACAUGGUUUUCUUAGGACAUCGCACUGUGUCGUUCGUCCGAUAUUUCAUUACUAUUAUUAUUGUACCACUGCUACCGCUAUUGUCUAUUACCAUCGUUCGCGUCGCGUCGCACGCGCGGAUGCGUCGCUCUAUCUGUAAGUCCUCGCAAAAUGAAGAAUCACACAGAAUGAACGCACACGAAAAAAUGGACUAUACGUACAAAUAGCAAGAGAAUGAGUAGUAUUAACUGCGAGGAGAUUUUAUCACAAACACAUACACCCACACACACGCACAUUCUAAAACACACAUUCUGUUAUUGCCUUAUGCACAGAUAUAGCUAUGAGAAGUAUAUAUAUUUUAAUUGAAAAUGGACAAAACAAGAAUUCCCCCUCCACUCCGCCCUGAGAGAAGAGAUAGUUAUAUACAAAUAUAUACAAAUAUAUACAGGGUGCUAAAUUUCAAGCGUAACAGGUAAAAAAUCUCGAAAACUACGAAAGAUAUUAAAAAAAGCU
rnacentral:misc_RNA from 1 species